GAUCCUGGCUCAGGAUGAACGCUGGCGGCGUGCUUAACACAUGCAAGUCGAACGGGAAAUAUUUUAUUGAAGCUUCGGCAGAUUUAGCUUGUUUCUAGUGGCGGACGGGUGAGUAACGCGUGGGCAACCUGCCUUAUACUGGGGGAUAACAGCCAGAAAUGACUGCUAAUACCGCAUAAGCGCACAGAACCGCAUGGUUCGGUGUGAAAAACUCCGGUGGUAUAAGAUGGACCCGCGUUGGAUUAG
rnacentral:rRNA from 1 species